rnacentral:rRNA from 1 species
AAUAUUAUAAAAAUUAUUUUCUUGUUUUGUUUAAUUUCUUUAUAUUAAAAUUAAUUGAUUGUUUUUGUAAAUGUUGUUGAUUAAAUUUUUUUUUGAUUAUAGUUUAUUUUUACUGUAUGGGUUAUUUUAUUAAUAUAUAAAAGUAGAUUUAUUGUUGUACCUUGUGUAUCAGGGUUUAUUAAAUUAUAUUAUGAAUUUUUUGUUUCCCGAUUUUGAAGGAUCUAAUUAAUUAUUUUAGUUAUUGUUUUAUAUAUAUUAAUAAUAAUUAAUUGGUGGUGAAAUGUUAUUCGGCUUUAAUGAUUUCUGGUUUUUCAAGAAAUGAAUUUAAUUCAUAUAUUAUUAUUAUAUUUCUAUUUUUUUAGUUUUUAUUUUAUUAAUAUAAAUGUCAUGGGGGAUAAGCUCUAUUGAUAUAUUUUUAUAAUUUUUUUAUUUUUUAAUUAUUGUUGGUUUUAUAAUAACUAUCAUUUUAAGUUUGUUAAAAUUUUAUUUUUUUUUGUUUUGAUUUAUAUUAAUAUUUAAUUAUUUUAUUGGAAUUUUUUAUUUAAUUAUUAUUUAUUUGUAAUUAUGAUAAAAUUAGUAAUUUCUAUUUAUUUUAUUAAUUUUCUAUUAAAAUUUUAAAAGGAACUAGGCAAAUAUUAUUAUUCUCGCAUGUUUAUCAAAAACAUCUUUUCUUGUAUUUGAUAUGAAAUAUGACCUGCCCACUGAAGUUGAUUGAAGGGCCGCGGUAUUUUGACCGUGCAAAGGUAGCAUAAUCAUUAGUCUUUUAAUUGUGGACUGGAAUGAAUGGUUGGACGAGGAAUAGACUGUUUCUUAUUAUUUUUAUUGAAUUUAAUUUUUAAGUUAAAAAGCUUAAAUUUAUUUAUGGGACGAGAAGACCCUAUAGAGUUUAUAUAUAUUAUUUAUUUAUUUUGUUUGAUUUUUAUUUUUAAAUAUUUAAUAUAUUUUGUUGGGGUGAUGGGAAGAUUUAAUUAACUCUUCUUUUUUUAUAUACAUUUAUUUAUGAGUGGUUGAUCCAAUUUUGUUGAUUAUAAGAUUAAAUUACCUUAGGGAUAACAGCGUAAUCUUUUUUGAGAGUUCUUAUUGAUAAAUGGGUUUGCGACCUCGAUGUUGGAUUAAGAUUUAAUUUGGGUGUAGAAUUUCAAUUUGUUUAGGUCUGUUCGACCUUUAAAAUCUUACAUGAUCUGAGUUCAGACCGGCGGGAGCCAGGUCGGUUUCUAUCUAUAAUAAAUUUUAUACCUUAGUACGAGAGGACCAGGUAUUUAAAAUAAUUUUUAUUUUGUGAUUAUUAAUAAUUUUU